GCCUGUUUAGCAUAGUCGUUAUUGCGCGGCACUUGUAUUCGAUCAUCCGGAUCAUGCCGAGGUCGCUGGUUCAAAUCCGGCAAUGGGCU
rfam:Puccinia graminis f. sp. tritici CRL 75-36-700-3 supercont2.39 genomic scaffold, whole genome shotgun sequence.